CAGUUCCCAUAUGAUCACUGAAGUUAAGCAGUAUCAAGCCUGGUCAGUAUCUAGAUGGGGAACUGCUUGGGAAUUGCAGGUGCUGUAAG